GAUGAACGCUAGCGGCAGGCCUAAUACAUGCAAGCCGAACGGCAAGAUUGAUAGCAAUAUUGAUCCUAGAGUGGCGUAAGGGUGCGUAACACGUAUGCAAUCUACCCUCAACAGGAGGAUAGCUCCCCGAAAGGGGAAUUAAGACUCCAUAAGAUCAUUUGGUGGCAUCAUUGAAUGAUUAAACUUCCAGGGGUUGAGGAUGAGCAUGCGCCNGAUUAGUUAGUUGGCGGGGUAAGGGCCCACCAAGACGAUGAUCAGUAGGGGAACUGAGAGGUUGA
rnacentral:rRNA from 1 species